UACGGGGGGGGCAAGCGUUGUUCGGAAUUACUGGGCGUAAAGGGCUCGUAGGCGGCCAACUAAGUCGGAUGUGAAAUCCCCAGGCUUAACCUGGGAACUGCAUCCGAUACUGGAUGGCUUGAAUCCGGGAGAGGGAUGCAGAAUUCCAGGUGUAGCGGUGAAAUGCGUAGAGAUUAGGAAGAACACCAGUGGCGAAGGCGACUUACUGGACUGUAACUGACACUGAGGCAUGAAAGCGUGGGGAGCAAACAGG
rnacentral:rRNA from 1 species